rnacentral:misc_RNA from 1 species
UUUCCGUAGGUGAACCUGCGGUAGGAUCAUUCAUAAUAAAGUGUUUUAUGGCACUUUUUAAAAAUCCAUAUCCACCUUGUGUGCAAUGUUAGAUCUCGUCAAUCUUGGCGAGAUUUUUAUACAUCAACUCAUUCUUUAACUAAUUUGUCUGAAAAAUAUUAUGAAUACUUAAUUCAAAAUACAACUUUCAACAACGGAUCUCUUGGCUCUC